rnacentral:rRNA from 1 species
CAAUAGCGUAUAUUAAAGUUGUUGCAGUUAAAAAGCUCGUAGUUGGAUUUCUGCGAGGGUGCCAAUGUCCGCCGACGCGCGUGCGCAGCGGCGCCCUCGCAUCCUUCUGUUACCACCUCUCGGCAUUCACUUGCCGGUGGUCGGCUCAGAGAAUUUACCUUGAGAAAAUUAGAGUGUUUCAGGCAGGCUAGGCCGGAAUACAUUAGCAUGGAAUAAUGGAAUAGGACUACGGUCUCGUUGUUGGUUUGAGGGACUGUAGUAAUGAUUAAUAGGGAUAGUUGGGGGCAUUAGUAUUUAAUUGUCAGAGGUGAAAUUCUCAGAUUUGUUAAAGACUAACUUAUGCGAAAGCAUUUGCCAAGGAUGUUUUCAUUAA